rnacentral:rRNA from 1 species
AGAAUCAACGCUGGCGGCGUGCCUAACACAUGCAAGUCGAACGGGAAAGUGGAGCAAUCCAUGAGUAUAGUGGCGACCGGGUGAGUAACACGUGACUAACCUACCCUUGAGUGGGGGAUAACCUCGGGAAACCGGGGCUAAUACCGCAUAACAUCUUCAGGAUGAGAAGCUGAGGAUCAAAGGAGCAAUUCGCUUUCGGAGGGGGUCGCGGCUGAUUAGCUAGUUGGCGGGGUAACGCCCACCAAGGCUUUGAUCGGUA